GAGGGUAGAGCUCAGUGGUAGAGUGCGUGCUUAGCAUGCACAAGGUCCUGGGUUCAAACCCUGGUACCUCCA
rnacentral:tRNA from 1 species